rnacentral:rRNA from 1 species
AUACAGAGGGUGCAAGCGUUGUUCGGAAUUACUGGGCGUAAAGAGUUCGUAGGCUGUAUUGAGAGUCAUCGGUGAAAUCCCAAAGCUCAACUUUGGAAUUGCCUGUGAGACCUCAGUACUAGAGUAUGGAAGGGGCUGGUGGAAUUCCAUGUGUAGCGGUGAAAUGCGUAGAUAUGUGGAGGAACAUCUGUGGCGAAGGCGACUGGCUGGUCCAUUACUGACGCUGAGGAACGAAAGCGUGGGGAGCAAACAGGAUUAGAUACCCGAGUAGUCC